GAUGAACGCUGGCGGCGUGCCUAAUACAUGCAAGUCGAGCGAACAGAUAAGGAGCUUGCUCCUUUGACGUUAGCGGCGGACGGGUGAGUAACACGUGGAUAACCUACCUAUAAGACUGGGAUAACUUCGGGAAACCGGAGCUAAUACCGGAUAACAUAUUGAACCGCAUGGUUCAAUAGUGAAAGGCGGCUUUGAUGUCACUUAUAGAUGGAUCCGCCCCGUAUUAGCUAGUUGGUAAGGUAACGGCUUACCAAGGCAACGAGACGUAGCCGACCGGAGAGGAUGAUCGCCCACACUGGAACUGGUCCAAGGUCCAGACUCCUACGGGAGGCAGCAGUAGGGAAUCUUACGCAAUGGGCGAAAGCCUGACGGAGCAACGCCGCGUGAGUGAUGAAGGUCUUCGGAUCGUAAAACUCUGUUAUCAGGGAAGAACAAAUGUGUAAGUAACUGUGCACAUCUUGACGGUACCUGAUCAGAAAGCCACGGCUAACUACGUG
rnacentral:rRNA from 1 species